GACCAAGAGAGUCUAAGAAGGUCUUAGGGAGCACAGACAACCUGAGGUGCAUCUUAACAGACUCACACCAUUUGGAAAUAAAUAAAGACAGAUGAAAAAGUUCUAGCACCUGUGUGUAGCCAGCUCACUCAUUCAUUGUGUAUCAUUGCUUUGUUUAUUCAAACCAUUAAAAAAAAAAUUAUAACCAGACACCAGGCACUUGCCGUAGAGUUUUAAAACAUGGAAUUUUAAUCCCUGCCCUCAAGGGCAGGAGGUCAGGGAGAUGUAAAGUGUAAAAUAAUGUGGACACAGGGGGAGAGCCACGUGACACUCUCCAGGUGACAUCCGAGGAGAGUGGUUAACCCGCCUGGUGGGGAAGGGACGGAGGCUGAGAGGCAGGCCAGUGAAGGGCAUUCCAGCUCCAGAGUCUUUGAGUGAAAUAAAAAGUAGAGGAAGCAUGGAGUGUGGACAGCUGCAAGCAUGGCCCUGUUCUGACAUGACAUGCAUGCUAGGCACAGGCAGGAGCCAGAAAUGUGUCAAGGACGCGGGAUGCAGGAGACGCAGAUUCUGAAGGAUCUCAGGGCCCCGGAAAGGAGCACGGCGUUUCAGCAAGUCUCAAGGUACCACUGCUGCAAUUGAGCCGAGAUCAGAACUGCCUUUUAGAUAAGUCAUGUGAAUGGAUUCGCUGUCCGUGUUGCGUCUGAAUGGCUGAGCGCAGAGGUAAUGAGACCCUGCGAAGGCCAUUUCCAGUGUCCAGGCAAGAGCUGAGCCUGGGUCUCCCUGGAGGAAGGCACAGAGUUGCGCAACCCAUGAAGGGACCCCUUAAAGCAAUCGGGAGCUCCACCUGAGCCCAGGUAUGGCGGGCUGACCUGUGACCUACCUCAGAGCCCAGAAUAAAGGAGCCAAGAGCUGGCCAGCAUUGAAACAGAUACUGUGCCCUGCCUCUGGAGUCACGCAGGCCUACUUCCCUCUUCCCUCCUUCCUGAGGGAGCCAUGAUAGAAGAAAGCCCAGAUAAGGAAACUCUCAGGACUGAAUUUGCAUUUUAGACUUGACCUCUGGGCAAAAGGACUCAUGGGUUUCUAGAAAGUGUAAGAGAUGAUCAUAUAGGUUCUUCAUGCUUGGCAUCUGUGUCUAGGAGUAUUUGAAAGAAAUGUUUAAGGCUUUUGGUUACUGCUUAUUUUUUGUUAGAGUAAACAUUGAAAGCUAUGUGUAGAAAGAAGCCUGGAAUAUCAUCAAAAAUAGGUUACAAUAAAAUACAAUUCUACUUGUUUCUGGGUCUUGAACUUUCCACAUCAAGUAUGGAAAGAGAUAUAUAGAAAGCCCUUCUUCUAUUAUUUCUGGCAUAUAGCCCCAGGAUUAAAGAGUUAAUAUCAACUUGUUACCCUCUCACAAAUAGAGAGAUGGAGUGCAGUUCCAGAAAAUGAUUCUUCUAUAGAAGAGCCUUGGUUUGUUGUUGUUGUUGUUAAUGUUUUGUUUUAUUUUUCAGAUUGAUUCCAAGUGUUGGAAGCCCAAAAAUUACUGUAGGUAGGUAAGAAAAAGAAAACAGUUCUUUUUCCUUUGGCUUAUAAAUAUUGAAGUUACUUUUCUUUAUUUUUAUUCCAUAUUUAUACAUGUUCU
rnacentral:lncRNA from 1 species